rnacentral:rRNA from 1 species
AUUGAACGCUGGCGGCAGGCCUAACACAUGCAAGUCGAGCGAGCGGCGGACGGGUGAGUAAUGUCUGGGAAACUGCCUGAUGGAGGGGGAUAACUACUGGAAACGGUAGAUAAUACCGCAUACCAUCAGAUGUGCCCAGAUGGGAUUAGCUAGUAGGUGUGGUAACGGCUCACCUAGGCGACGAUCCCUAGCUGGUCUGAGAGGAUGACCAGCCCAACUGGAAUUGAGCAACGGUCCAGACUCCUACGGGAGGGAGCAGUGGGGAAUAUUGCACAAUGGGCGCAGGCCUGAUGCAGCCAUGCCGCGUGUGGGAAGAAGGCCUUCGGGUUGUAAAGCACUUUCAGCGGGGAGGCGUUACCCGCAGAAGAAGCACCGGCUAACUCCGUGCCAGCAGCCGCGGUAAUAC